GCCUUGCCAGCCCGCUCAGAAACUUAAGGAAUUGACGGGGCCGCACAAGCGGUGGAGUAUGUGGUUUAAUUCGAUGCAACGCGAAGAACCUUACCUGGUCUUGACAUCCCGGAGACCCUUAGGAAACUAGGGGGUGCUUCCAUCUGGAAGAAUCUGGAGACAGGUGCUGCAUGGCUGUCGUCAGCUCGUGUCGUGAGAUGUUGGGUUAAGUCCCGCAACGAGCGCAACCCUUGCCUUUAGUUGCCAGCAGUUCGGCUGGGCACUCUAAAGGGACUGCCGGUGUUAAACCGGAGGAAGGUGGGGAUGACGUCAAGUCCUCAUGGCCUUUAUGACCAGGGCUACACACGUACUACAAUGGCCGAUACAAAGGGCAGCGACACUGCGAGGUGAAGCCAAUCCCGUAAAAUCGGUCUCAGUCCGGAUUGGAGUCUGCAACUCGACUCCAUGAAGUUGGAAUCGCUAGUAAUCGUGGAUCAGCAUGCCACGGUGAAUACGUUCCCGGGCCUU
rnacentral:rRNA from 1 species